rnacentral:rRNA from 1 species
GAUGAACGCUGGCGGCGUGCCUAAUACUUGAAAGCCAAGCGAAAGAAGGGGAACUUGCUCCCCUGACGUUUGCGGCCGGAGGGGGAGUAACCAGGGGAUAAACUACCUAUAAGAAUGGGGUAACUUUCGGAAAACGGGGCUAAUACCGGGAAAUAUAUUUAAACCGCAGGGUUCAUUGGGAAAGACGGGUUUGCUGUUAACUAUAGAUGGAUCCGCGCCGCAUUAGCUAGUUGGUAAGGUAACGGCUUACCAAGGCAACGAUGCGUAGCCGACCUGAGAGGGUGAUCGGCCACACUGGAACUGAGACACGGUCCAGACUCCUACGGGAGGCAGCAGUAGGGAAUCUUCCGCAAUGGGCGAAAGCCUGACGGAGCAACGCCGCGUGAGUGAUGAAGGUCUUCGGAUCGUAAAACUCUGUUAUUAGGGAAGAACAAAUGUGUAAGUAACUAUGCACGUCUUGACGGUACCUAAUCAGAAAGCCACGGCUAACUACGUG